rnacentral:rRNA from 1 species
AUUGCAACUCUGGCGGCAUGCUUAACACAUGCAAGUCGAGCGGUAGCACAAGGGAGCUUGCUCCCUGGGUGACGAGCGGCAGACGGGAGAGUAAUGUCUGGGAAACUGCCUGAUGAGAGGGGGAUAACUACUGAAAACGGAACCUAAUACCGAUUAUCUAUCUCAAGACCAUGGAUGGGGACCUUCAGACCUCUUGCCUUCCGAUGUGCCCUGAUGGCAUUACCUAUUAGGUGGGGUAAUGGGUCACCUCUGCCACAAUCCCUAACUGGUCUGAGACGAUGACCGGCCAUCCUGCACCUGAGACAUGAUACACACUCCUAACUCAUGCAGCAGGGAGCAAUAUUGAAUCUUGCGCGCUGGCCUGAUGCCUGCACUGCACCGCGUGUCAAGAAGGACUUCGGGCUUCAGAUCACUUUCACUCUGUUAUGAAGGAGGAGAACUUGUGUCAUUCAUUAUGUGCCUCUUGUCGGAAACUAAUCAGAAGGUCACUGCUAGCUACCUGCCACCAUCCUCGGUAAUACGUAAGUGGUAAGCGUAAUCACUGAAUUAUUGGGCGUAAGCGCCGCAGCGGUUUGUUAAGUCUGAUGUGAAAUCCCCGGGCUCAACCUGGGAACUGCAUUGGAAACUGGCAAGCUAGAGUCUCGUAGAGGAAAGUGGAAUUCCAUGUGUAGCGGUGAAAUGCGUAGAGAUCUGGAGGAACACCGGUGGCGAAGGCGACUUUCUGGUCUGUAACUGACGCUCAUGUGCGAAAGCGUGGGGAUCAAACAGGAUUAGAUACCCUGGUAGUCCACGCUGUAAACGAUGUCGAUUUGGAGGUUGUGCCCCUGAGCCGUGGCUUCGCGAGCUAACCCGUUAACUCGCCCGCCUGGGGAGUACGCCCGCAAGGUUAAAACUCAAAUGAAUUGACGGGGGCCCGCCCAAGCGGUGGACCAUGUGGUUUAAUUGGAUGCAACGCGAAGACCCUUACAUAUUCUUGCCAUCCAGAGAACUUAGCAGAGAUGCUUUGGUGCCUUCGGGAACUAUGAGACAGGUGCUGCAUGGCUGUUGUCAGCUCGUGUUGUGAAAUGUUGGGUUAAGUCCCGCAACGAGCGCAACCCUUAUCCUUUGUUGCCAGCGGUUCGGCCGGGCACUCAAAGGAGACUGCCAGUGAUAAACUGGAGGAAGGUGGGGAUGACGUCAAGUCAUCAUGGCCCUUACGAGUAGGGCUACACACGUGCUACAAUGGCAUAUACAAAGAGAAGCGACCUCGCGAGAGCAAGCGGACCUCAUAAAGUAUGUCGUAGUCCGGAUUGGAGUCUGCAACUCGACUCCAUGAAGUCGGAAUCGCUAGUAAUCGUAGAUCAGAAUGCUACGGUGAAUACGUUCCCGGGCCU